GACGAACGCUGGCGGCGUGCUUAACACAUGCAAGUCGAACGGAGUGGCGAACGCGUGAGUAACACGUGGGUGAACUGCCCUGCACUUCGGGAUAAGCCUGGGAAAAUGGUAAUAAUACCGGAUAGUGUGGUAUGGGCUCGCGGCCUAUCAGCAUGUUGGCGGGGAAAUGGCCUACCAAGGCGGCGACGGGUAGCCGGCCUGAGAGGGUGGACGGCCACGUUAGGCCUGAGACACGGCCCAGACUCCUACGGGAGGCAGCAGUGGGGAAUAUGACACAGUGGGCGGAAGCCUGAGGCGGCGACGCCGGGUGGGUGAUGACGGCCUACGGGUUGGAAACUCCGUGCACCAUCGACGCGGUAGGUGGAGAAGAAGCACCGGCUAACUACGUGCCAGCAGCCGCGGUAGUAC
rnacentral:rRNA from 1 species